GUGAGUGUGGCAGAGCGGUCGAAUGCGCCUGACUGUAAAUCAGGUAUCCCACGCGGUGGUUCGAAUCCAUCCACUCACACCA
rnacentral:tRNA from 3 species